GCUCCUGGGCGCGCCGAGCGGUAAGGGGAAUGGCCGCGCGGAGCCUGGGUGGCCUCCCCGGGUGGAGUCUAGCAGGAAACUGAGAGCUGUGUGAGAGUCUGUCGGGAACCUACCUGGUGGAGAUUCAUUUGUGAACAGCCAGGAGUGGACCCUGAGCCGCUCUGUGCCGGAGCUUAAAGUGGGCAUAGUAGGGAACCUGUCGAGUGGCAAGUCGGCCCUGGUGCACCGCUAUCUGACGGGGACCUACGUCCAGGAGGAGUCCCCCGAAG